UACGAAGGGGGCUAGCGUUGUUCGGAAUUACUGGGCGUAAAGCGCGCGCAGGCGGCUCUUCAAGUCAGGGGUGAAAGCCCAGAGCUCAACUCUGGAACUGCCUUUGAGACUGUAGAGCUUGAGUACGGGAGAGGUGAGUGGAAUUCCCAGUGUAGAGGUGAAAUUCGUAGAUAUUGGGAAGAACACCGGUGGCGAAGGCGGCUCACUGGCUCGUAACUGACGCUCAUGCACGACAGCGUGGGGAUCAAACAGG
rnacentral:rRNA from 1 species